GGCAGCCUGCGGGUCCUCAACACUGUGCCCCCACCCCAGCCCCAGUGCCUGGACCCUGCACAGCAGAGCAUCUCCCCAGGCCAGAGACAUCAAGCGGGAGCAGGGGGGGCCUGGGGCAGCACCCCCCCCAGCAGCUGGAGCUCUCCCCACAGUGGGCCUGCCUGCCCCUGCCAGGCCUGAGCACCCCCCCAGCUGCAACACUCUGGAGCAGCUGCCCUGGGCCCGAGCUGCAGCCGCUGGUCCAAGGCAUCCUGCCCCCAGCGCUGAGCCUGGGAACAGGACCAAGGCCAGACAGGGUGGAUACAGCACCCCCUGGCCUCCUGGGCUCCCUCCUGCUCCUCGCCAAGCCCCCCAGCUGCUGCAAUGGCUGCGACAAGGUAAGACCCCUUGUCUCCCAACCACAGGAUGCAUGACUAGAAACAUCACAGUAGUGCCCAAGCGACUCUGUCCUGAGUACUGCACAUUAUUAGGUGUAUUACGGUAACUCCUGGGCCCACUGGUUCUCUGGCGCUGAGUGCCGCACUUUAUAAGAUGCAAUACAGUAGCACCUGGGGGAGAUCCUCCCCUGCCCCACCCCCUCCUUGGUGCUGGGCAUUGCACAUUUGUCAGGUACUAAAGGUAGUGCCUGGGCACCCGCUGAGGUGUGCUGACAACAGGGAGUGAGGGGCCUGGGCUGAAGGAAGGGGUAGUGGCACAGAGCCCCCCCAAGCUCCUCCCCUUCCCAGGGCCUGCAGCUGAGCUGUGGGGCAGGCACCCCCUGGGAGCCCCAUGAAGGAACGGUGCUGAGGCCAGAGGGAGCCCCCGCAGCAGGUGCAGGAAAGACACAGGAGCGGAGCUUCCCGUGCAGCGUGUGCGGGAAGCAGUUCCGGCGCUCGUCCACGCUGUCCACGCACCUGCUGAUCCAUUCGGACACACGGCCCUUCCCCUGCCCCUUCUGCGGGAAGCGCUUCCACCAGAAGUCGGACAUGAAGAAGCACACGUUCAUUCACACCGGCGAGAAGCCACACCGCUGCGGGGUCUGUGGCCGGGCCUUCAGCCAGAGCUCCAACCUGCUGACCCACAGCCGCCGGCACCGUGGCCACCGCCCCUUUGCCUGCCCACGCUGCCCCCAGAGCUUCCAGCGCAAAGUUGACCUGCGGCGCCACUACGAUGCACACGGGCCCCCCCCAGCGCCCACACCGCCCUAGGCUCAGACCUCCCAGCGCCCCCCUGGAGGCUGUGGCAGCUCCAGGGGGUACCACCCCCCAUGGGCCCCCAGGGCUUCUGCCCCCCACACCUCCAGGGCAUUAAAGGGCAAGCGCCCACAGUCACACACA